rnacentral:rRNA from 1 species
UGGGGAAUUUUCCGCAAUGGGCGAAAGCCUGACGGAGCAAUACCGCGUGAGGGAGGAAGGCUUUUGGGUUGUAAACCUCUUUUCUCAAGGAAGAAGAUCUGACGGUACUUGAGGAAUCAGCAUCGGCUAACUCCGUGCCAGCAGCCGCGGUAAUACGGAGGAUGCAAGCGUUAUCCGGAAUGAUUGGGCGUAAAGCGUCUGCAGGUGGCUAUGCAAGUCUGCUGUUAAAGAGUGGAGCUCAACUCCAUAAGGGCAGUGGAAACUGCGUAACUAGAGUACGUUCGGGGUAGAGGGAAUUCCUGGUGUAGCGGUGAAAUGCGUAGAUAUCGGAAGGAACACCAGUGGCGAAGGCGACUUCCUGGGCCAAUACUGACGCUGAGGUGCGAAAGCGUGGGGAGCAAACAGGAUUAGAUACCCCGGUAGUCC